AAACUGGCCUAAACGCCACAAGUUGCAUCGACCUGAACGUCGGAAACUUCUUCGAUCUGAACAUCGGAAAACUGGCCUGAACGCCACUUCGGUCUGAAUACCGGAAACUUCAUGCCUGUCAGCAUCGGCAGAAAUAGGGAACGAUAAUAGAGGCGGCGCAUGGGCCAAUGACACUUGUUGGGGAUAACAAAGGUAAGUCAUGAACAAUCUUCAGUCUGAGUACUGGAAACAAC
rnacentral:lncRNA from 1 species